rnacentral:rRNA from 1 species
CCUACGGGAGGCAGCAGUGGGGAAUUUUGGACAAUGGGCGCAAGCCUGAUCCAGCAAUGCCGCGUGAGUGAAGAAGGCCUUCGGGUGUAAAGCUCUUUUGUCAGGGAAGAAACGGCUCCAGCUAAUAUCUGGGGCUAAUGACGGUACCUGAAGAAUAAGCACCGGCUAACUACGUGCCAGCAGCCGCGGUAAUACGUAGGGUGCAAGCGUUAAUCGGAAUUACUGGGCGUAAAGCGUGCGCAGGCGGUUUUGUAAGUCUGUCGUGAAAGCCCCGGGCUCAACCUGGGAAUUGCGAUGGAGACUGCAAGGCUUGAAUCUGGCAGAGGGGGGUAGAAUUCCACGUGUAGCAGUGAAAUGCGUAGAGAUGUGGAGGAACACCGAUGGCGAAGGCAGCCCCCUGGGUCAAGAUUGACGCUCAUGCACGAAAGCGUGGGGAGCAAACAGGAUUAGAUACCCUGGUAGUCCACGCCCUAAACGAUGUCUACUAGUUGUCGGGUUUUAAUUAACUUGGUAACGCAGCUAACGCGUGAAGUAGACCGCCUGGGGAGUACGGUCGCAAGNUUAAAACUCAAAGGAUUGACGGCUGAGAGNGCGAGACGACGACGAGGGAGGAGG